rnacentral:lncRNA from 1 species
ACAGCCCCCAAGACUGUGUUGUCAGUCUCUUCUUUGUAAUUACUAAAAUGGAGGGAACCCAGGGUCGCUUUGGAGACCCAAACUUGGCUGCAGCCUACAGCCUUGCUCAGUCAUAUGGAACCAAAUCUAGGAAGGGACCUUAGAGACAGCAACGCCAGUUCCCUGUGCAGACCUUCCCACGUGUUGCCUGCAUCCGCAAUCCCUUUUAGUUCAGCCACCUGAGGGGCUACCCCGUGUUCCGUGUACUCUGAGCUAGCUCCGGUGUGUGUCUGUGGACUCUGGGUCACUAAAGGUUUGCCCGAAUGAAUUUCUGAAUCUUUGGCGUUGAGAAGAUGUUGAUUCUAAUAAAGCUCCUGCAUUUCUGCC